rnacentral:rRNA from 1 species
GGCCGCGGGAAUUCGAUUCAGGCCUAACACAUGCAAGUCGAGCGGUAGAGAGAAGCUUGCUUCUCUUGAGAGCGGCGGACGGGUGAGUAAUGCCUAGGAAUCUGCCUGGUAGUGGGGGAUAACGUUCGGAAACGGACGCUAAUACCGCAUACGUCCUACGGGAGAAAGCAGGGGACCUUCGGGCCUUGCGCUAUCAGAUGAGCCUAGGUCGGAUUAGCUAGUUGGUGAGGUAAUGGCUCACCAAGGCUACGAUCCGUAACUGGUCUGAGAGGAUGAUCAGUCACACUGGAACUGAGACACGGUCCAGACUCCUACGGGAGGCAGCAGUGGGGAAUAUUGGACAAUGGGCGAAAGCCUGAUCCUUAAAGGCCGCGUGUGUGAAGAAGGUCUUCGGAU